AAUGAACGUUGGCGGCGUGGAUUAGGCAUGCAAGUCGAGCGAGAAGCGAUCCUGCUUGCAGGAUCGUGGAAAGCGGCGUAAGGGAGAGUAACGCGUGGUUACAUGCCCUGGGGUCCGGAAUAGCCUCGGGAAACUGAGGGUAAUGCCGGAUAACAUCUCUGGAUCAAAGGUGUGAUUCCGCCCUAGGAGUGGACCGCGUUCUAUUAGCUUGUUGGUGGGGUAACGGCCUACCAAGGCGUUGAUGGAUACCGGGUGUGAGAGCAUGGCCCGGCUCACUGGGACUGAGACACUGCCCAGACACCUACGGGUGGCUGCAGUCGAGAAUCUUCGGCAAUGGACGCAAGUCUGACCGAGCGACGCCGCGUGCGGGAUGAAGGCCUUCGGGUUGUAAACCGCUGUCAGAGGGGAGGAAAUCCUUGAGGGUACUCUCUCUUGGUUGACCUAUCCUCAGAGGAAGUACGGGCUAAGUUCGUG
rnacentral:rRNA from 1 species